rnacentral:rRNA from 1 species
GAUUAACGCUGGCGGCGUGCCUAACACAUGCAAGUCGAACGAUGAAACUUAAAUGAUUUCUUCGGAAUGAACUUAAGUGGAUUAGUGGCGGACGGGUGAGUAACGCGUGAGUAACCUGCCUUACACAAGGGGAUAGCCGUUGGAAACGACGAAUAAUACCCUAUGAAACUAUCACUACGCAUGAAGCGAUAGUCAAAGUGUUAGCGGUGUAAGAUGGACUUGCGUCUGAUUAGCUAGUUGGUGGGAAAAAAGCCCACCAAGGCAACGAUCAGUAGCCGGCUUGAGGGAGUGGACCGCAACAUUGGGAGUGAGACAAGGACCGAAUUCCUAGGGAAGGGAGCAGUGGGGAAUUUUGCACAAUGGGGGAAAGCCGGAUGCCGUGACGCCGUGUGAUUUAGAAGGCAGUGAAGUUGAAAAGUGCUUUUGUAUAGGAAGAAAAUGACAGUACUAUACGAAUAAGGUCCGGCUAAUUACGUG